rnacentral:misc_RNA from 1 species
GAUCAUUACAGUGCCAGCGGUGGCACGCCUAAACAGCGUGCCCCGCUACCGGCCACCCUUGUCUACCUUACCACUGUUGCUUCGGCGGGCCCGCUCCCGGCUACGGGGGUGACCCGGGGCUUGCCCCGGGCCAGUGCCUGCCAGAAGACACCUUAAAUUCUGUUGAUCAGUGAAUGUCUGAGUUGAUUGAUAAUCAUUAAAACUUUCAACAACGGAUCUCUUGGUUCCAGCAUCGAUGAAGAACGCAGCGAAAUGCGAUAAGUAAUGUGAAUUGCAGAAUUCCGUGAAUCAUCGAAUCUUUGAACGCACAUUGCGCCCUCUGGUAUUCCGGGGGGCAUGCCUGUCCGAGCGUCAUUUACAACCCUCAAGCGCGGCUUGUGUGAUGGGCGCCGUCCCUCAAGGGACGCGCCCCGAAGGCAACGGCGGCGUCGCGGUUAUCCGUUCAGCCAAAGUGUAUGGGGCUCUGUCACUCACUUUGCGGCACGGACCGGCGCUUGCCACAACUAUCAACUUCUAAGGUUGACCUCGGAUC